rnacentral:rRNA from 1 species
UACGUAGGUGACAAGCGUUGUCCGGAUUUACUGGGCGUAAAGAGCGCGCAGGCGGUCGUUCAAGUCGAGUGUGAAAGCCCCCGGCUCAACUGGGGAGGGUCACUCGAUACUGAUCGACUCGAAGGCAGGAGAGGGAAGUGGAAUUCCCGGUGUAGUGGUGAAAUGCGUAGAUAUCGGGAGGAACACCAGUGGCGAAGGCGACUUCCUGGCCUGUUCUUGACGCUGAGACGCGAAAGCGUGGGGAGCAAACAGG